rnacentral:rRNA from 1 species
AUUGAACGCUGGCGGCAUGCCUUACACAUGCAAGUCGAACGGUAACGCGGGGCAACCUGGCGACGAGUGGCGAACGGGUGAGUAAUGUAUCGGAACGUGCCCAGUUGUGGGGGAUAACUGCUCGAAAGAGCAGCUAAUACCGCAUACGACCUGAGGGUGAAAGUGGGGGAUCGCAAGACCUCGCGCAGUUGGAGCGGCCGAUAUCAGAUUAGGUAGUUGGUGGGGUAAAGGCUCACCAAGCCAACGAUCUGUAGCUGGUCUGAGAGGACGACCAGCCCCACUGGGGCUGGUACACGGCCCAGACUCCUACGGGAGGCAGCAGUGGGGAAUUUUGGACAAUGGGCGCAAGCCUGAUCCAGCCAUGCCGCGUGCGGGAAGAAGGCCUUCGGGUUGUAAACCGCUUUUGUCAGGGAAGAAAAGACUCCUGUUAAUACCGGGGGUUCAUGACGGUACCUGAAGAAUAAGCACCGGCUAACUACGUGCCAGCCGCCGCGGUAAAAC